rnacentral:rRNA from 1 species
UACAGAGGGUGCGAGCGUUGUCCGGAAUCACUGGGCGUAAAGGGCGCGUAGGUGGUGGCUUAAGCGUGCGGUGAAAGCUCGGAGCUCAACUCCGAGUCGGCCGUGCGAACUGGGCUCACUGGAGCAUAGUAGAGGCAGGUGGAAUUCCGGGUGUAGCGGUGGAAUGCGUAGAGAUCCGGAGGAAGACCGGUGGCGAAGGCGGUCUGCUGGGCAGUUUCUGACACUGAGGCGCGACAGCGUGGGGAGCAAACAGG